rnacentral:tRNA from 13 species
CGCGGGGUGGAGCAGUGGUAGCUCGUCGGGCUCAUAACCCGAAGGUCGUCAGUUCAAAUCUGGCCCCCGCAACCA